ensembl:lncRNA
GACAAAAUGAAUUCAUCUAUUUUUCUUGCCUUACAGAAAGAAGACAGCGACAACGAAAGAGAGGAGAGUGGAGCUGAAGAAGGCUGCCCUCAGAGCUGCUGCUGCACGUGCAGAGGUGAGUCCUUGGUGAACACAGACACGGCUCUUGUUGUUCUCAGGGCCUCUGUCUGUCACACAUGAAAGGAAGAGACUGUAAAAUCCCGAGGGAAGUGGUGUCCUGUUUCUACCCUCGCUCCGUUUCUUCCCAGGCCUCCGCAGUGGACAGCCUUGUGGAGAUGAUGCAGAAGCUGCAGCUGAAGGACUGAGAGGAGGAGCGUCAGCAGGCAGCAGCUUCUGCAGUGCGCGGCGUUACAGGGCAGCGCUGAGUGCCGCCCAUCUCAGCACUCCACCUUCAAACGUAGUCAAUAAACACCAGUCAAAUUUAUAGAUUCACAGAGAGCGCACGGCCUGAUUUGUCCAGCGGCACUCGGAGAGCUGCUGCACCACCUCCUCGUUAUUGGUCUCGCGGCGCUCGCUCAGAACUGCCACAGCUCCGUCAGCGAAUGCUGCCGUCCAUGUGAUGCAACGGAGGCAGCAGUCCUUUGCACUGCCCACAGACAGACUGUCUGCAAAGCACGUGCAAAGAGCUGCAGGGAACACAGCCUGGCCAUGAGCGUGCUAACUUGGAGAGCAACGCUGUGGAGAUUGCUGAGUUUCCCAGGGCAGCACCGAGCAUUUUUUGCCUGUGAUGACGGGUGUACAAUGAGCAAAGUUCAGCAAAAGGACGGCGUUUUCUGAGAAAAAAAUGACAGGCUGUUGGUCCAGAGCAGCAUCUCUGCAGCUUAGGACCACCAGGCUGCCAUCCCGGCACUGUUCUGCUUGCAGACAGCGCUCCAUGUUGUGGCACUCAGAGGGCGUCCCUCUGCCGUGCAGCCCUCCCCAGUGCCUGCCUGCCUGUCACUGUUGCGGCUGGGAUGGAGCUGUUUCCUUUGCAGUGCCUGCUAUCUUUUCACAUGCGUGCACCCCAUCCCUCUGCACACCCACGAGCACGAAGACUCGAGCACUGCUCCAGCCUUGCACACUGCCAUGUGCAUGCACACAGAUGCAAAACUUUCACCUGCAAGCACUGUGCACACAGCCAAGCGCAAUGCACGCUCUGAUGUUCAGCACCAUCUCUGCACACCCCCGUAUGCACGCAUACCUGCACUCACAGCUCGAGGACAAAAUGCUGCUGGCACGGCACAGCCAACACGCAGGCGGUGGGCAAUGUCAGGAGGAAAGGCCCCCCUUUACGCUCAUUCAUUCUCCUCUCUUUAAUGAAUGCAUUGGUGCACAGCUGGAGCCCCAUCCUGAGAUGUGGAUUUGCUGCUGGGGUUCCUCGUCGGUGGGCUAUGGGGAUCCUGGGAUGGUAAUGGGGGUCCUGUCACGGACUGUGGAACUCUGAGGACCCAGGAGAGGACUGAGGGGGUAAGGGAGGUCUGAGGAAGAAAACAAGGGGGUUCAGUGGGAGCUCAGAGGGGGAUGUGUGCUGCUGCUGGGGACUGCAGAAGCCUGUGAUGGCCCAGCUUGUCUGUGGGGGAGAUGUGCUGAGUCUGAGAAGGUCCUUGAGGAGCUAUAGGGCUCUCUGGGGGUGUGUUUGGUGGAUAUAGGGACAUUAAGGGAUGUGGGAACACAGGCUGCAGGAGCAGAAUGCUGUUCAGGAGAAGACAAGACGUGGGCUGCAGGUGGGACACAGGGGCAUGGGCUAGUAUGGGGACGUAGAGAGUAUGGGAGGAUGUGGGGAGCGGUUUGAGGUAAAAAGGGGGGUGGGUGGGCAGAGUUUGCAGUGGUUUCAUUUCAUCCUGAGAGGGGACUGGGCGUCCCUGUGGCCCAAAGGUGGGGCCCUGAGCCGUAACCCCACAUGAGCCAUAACCCAAGAUGACCUCAUCGCCCUGUAUGUGCGUGACCCCAUGGCUGCACGUGACCCACAGCCCUGGGGGAACCAUACCCCCACAUGACCCUGUGACUCCCUGACUCUGCCUGCCCCCAUCACGCUGCGACCCGACUCCAUGUGGCCCAUAACUCUGGGAUCCCUGCCCCCACCUCACCCAACCAUACAACCCAUGUGAUCCGUAACUCCAUGUCACCCCAUCUGUCCCUACCAUCCAAUCUGACCCUAUCACUGUGAUUCAGAACCCCAUCUGACCCCAUAGCCCCACAUCACCCUGUAACUCUGUGACCCUGCAGGACCCCCAUGUGACCCACGACCCCACGUCCUCACCCCAUGUGGCCAUAGAACCAGCUGCAUGCUAGGAAAAGGCAUCUCCUCCUCAGGGUGGGGCUGCCCCACAGCUGCCCCAGAGAAGCCAUGGGGUGGGCUGCAGCCGUACGCCUCAGUUUGGAGAGCUGGGAGCUGGCCAAAGGGGCCAGCAGAAGGACAUGAAUGCUUCUGUAGGGAAAUACCUGUCCCAGGGUUUGGUGGCUUGGUAGCUUCUGUUUCUGUAAGUGCAUGAGAACAGAACAAACUGAUCCCACUGAGACCGGGGAAGGGACUGGAGCUUGGCUGCUGCAGUGCUGCCGUGGCCAUGAGGGAUACCCGAGCCAGGAAUGGAGCAGGGAUGGACUGAAGCAAAUCAACUCCUUCACGGGACAGUGGCAGAAGAAAUCCAAGUCAGCUGCAGAACGAACAACACAACUCCUUACAAAAGGGCGUCCCAGACUGGGGCCGUUGCAGCAGUAGGGGCAGUGCCUCUUGGAAGGGAUCUCGCGGUGGGGAAGAAACUGCUCCAACAUCAGCACUUGCAGCAGCUGCUGCAACGACCCCGAGAAAUGGGCAGAGCACUCUGAGGGCAGCGCAGCACGAGGAGGAAGGAAUGCACGGUGGUGCAGAACGAGCGCAGAAGGAUGGAGAGCAGCAGCGGUGGGAUCCCCCUUUGGCACGGCCACCCACCGCUACGGGACUGCAACAAGGAGCUGCACCCUGCCGUGGUCAGCAUGGCUCUGUGUGCCAGCUGUGUGCUGCUGGAAAGCACCCGAGCGGUUACGGGUGGGAGAGUGGCAGAGGAAAUCAUCCAACAUCUGCAGGGAUAGCACAAGGCAGGCUCAGUGUGACAGCUGUGUCAUCGUGCAGCAGACAGAUGCUGAGCAGAGCACAGCAGGGCCAGGACGUUCUGACCAGGGGGAGGUGGAGAGUGCACACGAGAUAAGGCACAGCUGCAGGACGGAGCAUGAGACCCAGCACGUGCAACAGCUGCAAGAAAUCCUGCCUGCCUGUCUGCAUAGAAAAGCACACAAUCAGCCCGAAAGGAACACGUUGGCCAUAGACCUCCUCUGGAAAAACUGCACAGCGGAUGCGUGGUGGAGACUGUGAGCCUGCAGUGCCCAGCCAAGGGGGAACAGGAGAGCAGUGGGUGCCAUGGGAGGAGAGCUACAGGAGCAGAAGGAGCUCACAGAGGAGAGUGCAGUAACGCCACAGCAAUCAGGAAUGAGCUUUGCUGCUGCACUGAGAGCUGUGCCUGGUGGAACAUCAGGGAUGUGAGCGUUUCUCGCACACCCCACAUGGCACUUGGGUUGAUGUGCUGGGAUGUAGGGAAGCCUCAUGGUGUUGUGGGGCAGCUAAAGGACGCCUAUGGGAGGGCUUCAGGAGCACUUUGGGGCAGCUUUGGAGCAGAGCCACACCUGGGAGCUGCCUUUACCCAACACACUGCUGCUGGUGGAACUGCUGCUGGCCACGGGCUGCGGGCAGUGAUGGGGCUGCUCUGGGGCAGCUCUACGAUGGCUCUGGGGCUGCUCUGGGCAGCUAUGGGAUACACUCAUGGAACCUCUUCCUUAGCCCCCAACAAACCCCUCGACCUCCAUUUUGCCCCCCAAGAUGAGGGCAAGAUGAGCGUCAGGGGAAUAUACAGGCUGCUGACCUACAGCGGCCCCAGAGCCACCUUAUAGUACCCCCUGAACAAGCCAGGAACAGACCCAUCCCUGCCCACAGCCUCAUAUGGGGUUACGGUGCUCACAGGGUUAUGGGACAUGUGGAGCCUUGGGUCACGCGGAGUUCUAUGGGGUUCUGGGCUCAUGUGGGGUUACUGGAUCAGGGCUCCACCUUUGGGCUGCAGGGAACCCCAAUCCCCUCUCAGGAAGAAAUCAAUGAAUGCACUCCAACACCACUCCACAUCCUCCAUUCUGACCCCAAACCGCUCCCCACGAGCCCCCAGACCCCCCACGUACCCAUGCCACGUCAUGUCUCUGCACCCACAAGUCCCACCUGUACCUCACACCUUGCCUUCUCCUGUGAAGCACUCUGCUCCUGUAGGCUGUGGUCCACAUCCCCUUAUCCUCCCCAAAUCCUCCCAUGUUCUGAUCCGUGUUCCCCAGUAUCCCCAGUACCACCCACUUCACUUUCUGAGACCCACAUCUGUGCCCUACACCUUCUCCAGCUCCUCAUUCCUCACCUGCAGAAGCCAGCCCUGCCACAGCACUGUGAGGUUGUACGGGAUCUGGAGGCAGGUCGGGGGGAGGAGAGGCCAAAGGUGGGCUAUGGGGGUCACUGGAUGGUGAUGGGGGUACUGUCAAGGGAACAUGGGGGUCAGUGAGUUCCCAGGGGGGAUCUUGGAGGUGUAAAGGAGGUCUGAGGGAGGAAAUAGGAGGAUUCCGGGGAAGCCCAGUGGGGGACAUGGGGUGCUGCUGGGGACUGUGGGGCUCCAUGUGGGUAUGGGCCAGCUACGGGGGAGGUGUACUGGGUCUGAGGGGGUUCCUGAGGGGCUCCAGGGCUCUGUGGGGGGCUACAGGGUGUCUCUAGGGGUCUUGCUGGGAAACACUGGGAGGGAUAUAUGGGCUCUGAGGGAAUGAUGGGUGGGCUGUCAUGAGAAAGGAAAGGGCAGCCUUGGGGAAAGCAAGGGGCAGCCAGGGGGAUGGAAGGGAAUCCUACAGGAAUGCAAGGGGAAUCCAGGCUGAGGCAAGGGGACAGCUGGGGGAAGAACAGGGGAACGUCCCAGCAACGGACUUCUUCUUUCACAUCCACAUCUUCUGCUUCCCAACUGAGCUGCAAAGCUGCCAGAGGAGCUGCAGUACCGCUGCCCGACUCCUGCCUGUGUCAGAAAGAGCUGCACGUGAGCAGAGUGCAAUUGCCAUUCUAAAGCCAACUCCAUCACUGCAGUCACAAAACCACAACCUUCAGUAUCUGCUACAGGCAGACGACCAUGCCCUUGCACAGGAACCAUUCCUACAGAGCAAGGGAAGUCCUUCACUGCCUCAGGACGUGAGGAACACAGGAAGGGCCCCAAAGCCUUCAGCACAUGCUAUGGAGCCACCGACUUUGGCAGCUAAACACACCUUCUCCUUCAAGAAUGAGCAAGACCAAUCAAUGCACCCUGCUGCUGCAGAGGGCUGCGCUGCAUCUCCUGGUGCCACCCUUGGGCUGUCAUCGCGCUGCCCACCCACAGCGCACUUUGAAGCGCCGCAGCCUUGCAAGAAAGAACAGAGAGCAAGGAGCUCUGCCGUGCACUUCCUGUGAGAACACAGAGAGGAGCCGUACAGCCCUUGCUCUCAGCACACACACCUCUUCUCUUACCAGCCGUUCAUUCCUGCACAGCGCUGCUCAAACCCCUCCUCCAUCUCUCCCUUCACAACGCCAUACGCAGCCUCUCCCCAGCGACGAGCUCUGGGCUCUUUCAUGCCUGUGCCAUCAUCGGGG